rnacentral:lncRNA from 1 species
GUCCCUUGCCAUAUAUGUUUUUUGAUGCUUGAGUUCUUGAAAAGACUCACUCAGUCUCUUUUUGAAUGAAUUCUAGUAGUUGUUUGUUAUUGUUGAAUAUAUCAAUCACCAACAAGGGUUAUUGAUCACUGAACAAACAACCUCAUCCAUUCAUAUUGGUGAAGUACGCUGACCUUUCCACCGACCACAUGAUGAGACAGCUUUACAGUUGUACAACAUUUUGAA